AUUCAAGGUAAAGAAAGUAUUAGGCCCAGAGAGGAGGAAGCUGGAGCGUGCAGAGGGCAAAGAGGAACCCAGAUUCAAAUCCCUCCUCAGGAGUGAAAUUCAGGUGGUGUCCUGUGCCCAGUGACAGUGUUGUUGUGAAGACAAAAGGAGGGGGACAAAUCAUGGCCCUUGAGAGCUGCUCCCUACAAAACGUGCAUCGUGGUGAAAGCUGUGGGAGUCCCAGAGCUGGCCUAGUUUACUCCUCCCUCUCAGGCAGCGCCAUGGCCUCAGAGGCACCGUCCGGAUUGUCUCUUCUGUAGGAUAGAGUGGAAAGAGCAGCCGGGCAGCCCAAUCAGGAUCUGUUGCCCUUCCAGGGUCUGGUGACCUUUGAGGAGGUGGCCGUCUAUUUCACGGAGGAGGAAUGGGCCCUGCUGGAUCCUGGCUAAAGAGCUCUGCACAGGGAAGUCAUGGAGGAGAAUUAUGAGACGGUGGCCUCUCUGGAGUCGGACCUCCAUUCGUGUUGGGAAGAAAGAAAAGAUCCCUUUAUCCAGUAUCCCAAAGAUGCGACAUCAACAG